UACGUAGGGGGCAAGCGUUGUCCGGAUUUAUUGGGCGUAAAGAGCGUGUAGGCGGCCAUGCAGGUCAGCUGUGAAAACUCGAGGCUCAACCUCGAGACGUCGGUUGAAACCGUGUGGCUAGAGUCCGGAAGAGGAGAGUGGAAUUCCCGGUGUAGCGGUGAAAUGCGCAGAUAUCGGGAAGAACACCUAUGGCGAAGGCAGCUCUCUGGGACGGUACUGACGCUGAGACGCGAAAAGCGUGGGGAGCGAACAGG
rnacentral:rRNA from 1 species